rnacentral:antisense_RNA from 1 species
GCAAGAUGGGUGUAAAUCUUUCUAGAGCACAGCUGAAAAGUUAAAUGGCUUGUCCUAGAGUACACAGCUCAGCAGAGCCAAGAGUAAAAUGGAAAUCCAGUGCUUUUCCAUCUAUGCUGCAGUGAACAUCCACUAGAGUUUUAUGAAAGUCCAACCUCCCAGCAAUAGGGAGAAAAAGCAAUUAUAGCCUUUCUUGAUAUUUAACCUAGCUAACAACUUCAGCCCAGAGAAAAUCUUCCAAAAGUCCAAGACAGACAGGCACUUCUACCGCUCACCACCCUCCAAAAGGGACUGAGCCCUAAGCUUGUGCAGUGAUUAAUGCUUUCCAUGUCUUUUCCAUCCGCCUGCAGUUAUGCUACAAGAUCUCUGGGUAAAGGACUAGCCAGGUCUGUCUAACACAUACUUUGGUGUGACUUAACAAACUGGUUUCUACCACUUUCAGCCUGAAGUGACAGUGCUUUUAAAUGUUGGUUGCAGGCAGGGGACUGCUGCCCCCUCCCAAGCACUUCAACUUCCUUGGCUUCUGUC